UUUUGACGUUUCCUUAGUUUCAUUCUCGGAUCAUUUUUUGGUUGAUUUGUGAUUGGUUGGAUAGCAGAUUUAUAUAAAAUUUACGGCCGUUUGAUGAAUCGAGUUGAGCUAAAGAACUUUAGUUGUUAAUGUAGUUGCCUUAGUAGAUAAAUCUGGUUUUGAUGAUUAGUAUAUAGAGACUGAUCGUUAGAUGAAACCUCUCUCAGAGUGGAUUCAAAGUUUGAUCAGCAAUAGAAGUUGGCUUAGGAGGUAUUUAAGGCUGCUGGGUCUUGAGCUCAGGACCAGAUAUAUAUAAUUGACAGUAAACAAAAUUUAGUCUAACUAAAGUUUUGGUUUGAACUGUCCUUAAUGGUUUUCCAAGACACGAUGGGGAAGCGAAUAGUGCAAGAGAAUGAAACUCAUAUGUUUAUAUAUCUAUUGUUGCAGGUCAUGUGAACUACUCAAUUUUCUAGAAGAACAUUGCUCCUAUCAACGUGAGUUUGUAUUGAGUGCUUAAUGGUUUGUUUGUUUGUAACAUAUUUCAGCAAGGUUGUGGAGUGCCACCGAAGGAAGCUCUUGAUGGCGCCAUCACUACAAGAAAACAUCAAGGAUUCUGAGGGAAAAAAUCGUCGGAA
rnacentral:lncRNA from 1 species